UACAAAUGUGAUAUGAUGCGGUUC
rnacentral:siRNA from 1 species